AGGACGAACGCUGGCGGCGUGCUUAACACAUGCAAGUCGAGCGGAAAGGCCCUUCGGGGUACUCGAGUGGCGAACGGGUGAGUAACACGUGAGUAAUCUGCCCCUAGCUCUGGGAUAGCUCCGGGAAACCGGGAUUAAUACCAGAUACAACCACUUUAGACAUCUCUUGUGGUGGAAAGAAUUUCGGCUAGGGAUGAACUCGCGGCCUAUCAGCUUGUUGGUGAGGUAACGGCUCACCAAGGCGACGACGGGUAGCCGGCCUGAGAGGGCGACCGGCCACACUGGGACUGAGACACGGCCCAGACUCCUACGGGAGGCAGCAGUGGGGAAUUUUGCGCAAUGGGGGAAACCCUGACGCAGCAACGCCGCGUGGAGGAUGAAAUCCCUUGGGAUGUAAACUCCUUUCGAUCGGGAAGAUAAUGACGGUACCGGAAGAAGAAGCCCCGGCUAACUUCGUGCCAGCAGCCGC
rnacentral:rRNA from 1 species